GACACCCAUAAAAAUAAAAUAAUGUUGUUACUCGAUAUAAACAAUGUGAUACAGUUGUAAAAAAUGUAAUGGAAAUUUUCUGGUACUAUGAAUAUGAUACAAGUAUUCCUCACACAAUUGUUGUUUCUCAACAGCACAUUUAGUCAAUUUGUACACACGCCUGGAUACAUGUCAUAUCCGCAGAGAUAUUACGAUGAAUAUGACUAUAAAAGAUUAGGUAGGCAAAGCAGGUUCCACCGACGAAGUGGUGGAAAAUUCCCCGAGUAUUCCGCAGAUUCCAACUACGACUAUGGAAGGGCAAAUUGUAGAUGCUCUUGUAGAAAUUGCGAAAAUAUAAAACCCUGCUGCGUCUCGAUAUGCGAUAACUGUAACUCGCAAUCUUUAGUAUUCGUUCCAUAUCCAGUUCCCCUUGUCGUUGCUAUCACAUCGAAAUCAACUCCAAACACAUCAACAACAACUACAUCUUCAACAACGACAACCACAACCACAACAACACCAUCAACAAAAACAGAAAAUUCACCUGAAAUAACGUUCUCUACGCCAACGUAUGCUAGAAUAAAUUACAGGCCCGAUUUUGGAAUAUCUACUUCACCCUUUUACAAAAAAAAAAGAUUACUUUUGGGAAAGAAAAAUAAGUGUCUUGGAGGUCAAUGUCCGAAUUACCGAAGGAUAGAUUUAAUAGAUCAUUUGUUAAGAAAUGAGGAUGGUCGGCAAGCGGACAAUUAUGAUGAUUUUGAUGUGAAGCUCGAGAAAGGCCACCAAUUCGGUAUCAUUCCUAUACCGAAUAAAAUGGCGCUAGAAUUCAUGACCAACAUGCGGGAUAUGAAAUUAAAUGAGUUAUUUCAGUCAAAGGUAUAAAGUUCUAGUAUAUUAGUGGUUUUAGUUUUUUAAUGGGGCGGGGAUAAAUGGGGGAGCGUGUAUGUCACUUAAAAUAAAGUGCCGCUAUCUGUGGACCUGCAGCAUUGGGACUCGGCCUAUCAGUCGUAAAGAAAGAGCGUAUCAAUUCUUAAAAGGUCGGCAACGCACUUGCGAGCUCUCUGGCAAUGAGUGUCUAUGGUUUCGCCCAUAUCAGUAAACUGGUAAGCCUCCUGCCUUUACAUUAAAAAUGGCACGGAAAUUCUACUUCUAAACGAAAUUAAUAAUCGUUAUUUUUAAUAGAGUUUAAUCAUUAUGGCAGCGUUCAAGUAUUACGUCAAAACAAAUUUUUGGAGAUACUUGACCCCCCGCGAAUGAUGAAACUCCGCGAUGAAACGCGACGUAACGUUUUGUGCACCCAAUAGUAAAACGUUUCGUGGCCACUCAGUGACUCUUUACACCUAAAACUUAGCUUUAUGUGCUGUCAAGUACUGGAAAUACAAAAAUAAUAUGAACAAUAACGCGUAAUUCAAUCUCCGCCGCGCAUCGUUAUAAAAGGAAGCAUGGACACAUGUGGUUUCUAUCAGAUAUGUGAUAAACAUAAUAAAUAUACCAAAUAAGUAUCAAA